GUGAGGAAUAUUGGUCAAUGGGCGAGAGCCUGAACCAGCCAAGUCGCGUGAAGGAAGAAGGAUCUAUGGUUCGUAAACUUCUUUUGCAGGGGAAUAAAGUGCAGGACGUGUUCUGUCUUGUAUGUACCCUGAGAAUAAGGAUCGGCUAACUCCGUGCCAGCAGCCGCGGUAAUACGGAGGAUCCGAGCGUUAUCCGGAUUUAUUGGGUUUAAAGGGUGCGUAGGUGGUUUGAUAAGUCAGCGGUGAAAGUUUGCAGCUUAACCGUAAAAAUGCCGUUGAAACUGUCGGACUUGAGUGUAAAUGAGGUAGGCGGAAUGCGUGGUGUAGCGGUGAAAUGCAUAGAUAUCACGCAGAACUCCGAUUGCGAAGGCAGCUUACUAAGCUACAACUGACACUGAAGCACGAAAGCGUGGGGAUCAAACAGGAUUAGAUACCCCUGUAGUCC
rnacentral:rRNA from 1 species